rnacentral:rRNA from 1 species
GUAGUCUCGCACAGAUGCAUAUCAAUAAGCGGAGGAAAAGAAACUAACAAGGAUUCCCCUAGUAACGGCGAGUGAAGCGGGAAGAGCUCAAAUUUGAAAUCUUAAAGGGUUUCCCUUUACGAAUUGUAGUUUAAAGAAGUGUUUUCUGUUGAGGUUUUGGUAAAAGUUCUUUGGAAUAGGAUAUCAUAGAGGGUGAGAAUCCCGUAUUUGACCUUUACUUUCAACUUUGUGAUACACUUUCAAAGAGUCGGAUUGUUUGGGAAUGCAGUCCAAAAUGGGUGGUAAAUUUCAUCUAAAGCUAAAUAUUGGCGAGAGACCGAUAGCGAACAAGUACCGUGAGGGAAAGAUGAAAAGAACUUUGAAAAGAGAGUUAAACAGUACGUGAAAUUGUCAAAAGGGAAGCGUUUGACACCAGUGUUGUUUUUCUGAAAAUCAAUUAAAGAACUGUUUAUGCUAAGUUGUUUAGACUUUAUCAGCUAUCUGUUUAGUUUUGAGCUUUUCUUUAAUGCACUUUUCAGUUAACAAGUCAACAUCAAUUUCUUUUGCUGUAAAAAGCUUGAGGAAGGUGGCUUGAGAUUCGUCUUAAGUGUUUAUAGCCUCUUGCCUAUGCAGUCGGAGAGAUUGAGGUCUGCAGCGUAGAUCCUUCGGGGCUAAAUGCAUUUGUGCUAAGUUAUAGCAUUUUAUAGACAACUUGUUGACUAUGAUUUGUCUUGUAGCUUACUCGCUUAUGUUAUUUUACCUACGCUUAGGAUGUUGAAGACUCUACAGAGAU